UUAACGUACCGCAGUACCUCCCGGUAAGGGGAAAGGCGGGGGAUCUUCGGACCUCGCGCUAUUGGAGCGGCCGAUGUCGGAUUAGCUAGUAGGUGAGGUAAAGGCUCACCUAGGCGACGAUCCGUAGCUGGUCUGAGAGGAUGAUCAGCCACACUGGGACUGAGACACGGCCCAGACUCCUACGGGAGGCAGCAGUGGGGAAAUUUUUGGACAAUGGGCGCAAGCCUGAUCCAGCCAUGCCGCGUGAGUGAAGAAGGCCUUCGGGUUGUAAAGCUCUUUCAGGUGGAAAGAAAUAGCGCUGUUUAAUAGAUGGCGUUGAUGACGGUACCACCAGAAGAAGCACCGGCUAACUACGUG
rnacentral:rRNA from 1 species